GGGGGCGAAAAUGGUUUCGACGGGGAUUCUGAGCCUUAAGUAGCGAGUCGUUGAUGAAUCACACAACGCUAAAAUGGUUCAUAAAAAUAAACGACGAAAAUAAUUUCGCACUAGCUGCCUAAGGGUAGCUUAUCUAGCUUAAAGUGCCCACGCUUUAAAAUCUAGGUAUCAAAUUUUGUGGGGAACCGCACUGCACAAGUUGUCAUAAUGCAGGACGGAACUUAUGACAAUAUCCUACGAUUUUUUUUGAUUAUUUAAAAGACUAGGAGAAAAUUUAAAAAUAGUCUGCACUCGGAGAAGCUUUUUGCAGACGAAUCUUCGGACGUGAGUUCGACUCUCACCGCCUCCACCA
rnacentral:tmRNA from 1 species